rnacentral:rRNA from 2 species
AGAGUUUGAUCCUGGCUCAGGACGAACGCUGGCGGCGCGCCUAACACAUGCAAGUCGAACGAGCGAGAGAGAGCUUGCUUUCUCGAGCGAGUGGCGAACGGGUGAGUAACGCGUGAGGAACCUGCCUCAAAGAGGGGGACAACAGUUGGAAACGACUGCUAAUACCGCAUAAGCCCACAGGUCGGCAUCGACCAGAGGGAAAAGGAGCAAUCCGCUUUGAGAUGGCCUCGCGUCCGAUUAGCUAGUUGGUGAGGUAAUGGCCCACCAAGGCAACGAUCGGUAGCCGGACUGAGAGGUUGAACGGCCACAUUGGGACUGAGACACGGCCCAGACUCCUACGGGAGGCAGCAGUGGGGAAUAUUGCACAAUGGGGGAAACCCUGAUGCAGCGACGCCGCGUGGAGGAAGAAGGUCUUCGGAUUGUAAACUCCUGUUGUUGAGGAAGAUAAUGACGGUACUCAACAAGGAAGUGACGGCUAACUACGUGCCAGCAGCC